rnacentral:rRNA from 2 species
UGAGCUAUUUUAAGUUGAUGUUUUAGAAACAUAUAGGUAAGUGUAGCAAAAUUUUCUUAAAAACUUAAAAUAGAAGUUAGAUUCUAUUCGUAUUAGGUGAUAGCUAGUUUUUUCAUAAAGGCAUAAAAGUGCUUAAAUUAGAUUAUUUAAUCUGUUUAUUUACAGGUUAAUAUAAUAAUUUGGGGUAUUUUUGAGGAUAAGCUCAAAAAUAGAUUUAGAAUUAUAAAUAUUAAAGUGAUAUCUUAAAAUUUGAGCUUGAAGUUAGCUAUAAUUAUAAGUUUGUUAUAAGUUAUUUUGAUGACUAAACACAUAAUAAAUUUAUUUGAUAUUAUGAAAAAAAUUUUUAUAACUAUUAUAAAAAUGUAUUUAUGCUAAAAUGAGUAUCUGUUUUCAUUUUAUUCUAACGAAAUUGAGUUUAGGAUUGAAUAACUAUUAAUAUAAUUAAUUUUUAAGAAGGAACUCGGCAAAUAUAUUUGUUCUGCCUGUUUAUCAAAAACAUGGCUCUAUGAGGAUAUUAAUUUAUAUGGAGUCUGGCCUGCCCAGCGAUUGAAAUUUAGCGGCCGCGGUACUCUGACCGUGCGAAGGUAGCAUAGUCACUUGCCUUAUAAUUGAAGGCUAGUAUGAAUGGUUUGACGAGAACAAUACUGUCUCCUUUAAAAUUUAUAAAAUUUGGUUUUUAGGUGAAGAAACUUAAAUAAUAUUGAAAGACAAGAAGACCCUGUCGAGCUUUAAAAAAUAAUUUUGAUAGAGUUAGUGUUAUAGCCUAAUUUCAAUUUGGAAUUUUAGUUGGGGCGACUAAGGAACACAUAGAACUUCCUUUUAUUUAUUAAAGCCCGUGAGCUUUGAUCCAAAAGUUUUGAUUAAAAGAAUUAGUUACCGCAGGGAUAACAGCAUUAUCUUCUUUGAGAGUUCUUAUCGAAAGGGGGGUUUGUGACCUCGAUGUUGGACUAAGAUAUCCUAAUAGAUGUAGAAGUCUUUGAGGGUUGGUCUGUUCGA